CCUCCAAUCUAUACCUGGAAUUCCAACUACAUACUUUAACUUUAUGGGUACCUUAUUACCCCUGAACAUUUUAAAAGUGAAAUAUAUACCCACUUAAAAAGUCUUACCCAAAUUUAUGUUAAGUAGUGAGAUACACUCGCCUACCACAUCAUUUUUUAGUACAAAAAGUUAUUAUUUUGUCUUUAUUUUAUAUUUUCCUAUCUCUUUUUCUCUUUUGUUAUUGAUAUGAAACCAGAAGCACAUUACCUUGUUCUUUCUUUCUUCUUCUUUAUAUUUUUUUUGAAAAAACAAUUUUUUGGUGGCUGUUACACUAUUUUAUUAAUUAUCAAAGUUAAAUGUUACAAAUCUCAAAAAGCAUUAAUAAAGGUUUUGACCCAGUCCACUAUGAUCAGCUCUAUCUACUCCUCUAUAAGCUUUCCUAAUAUUUGGAUAAAUUUCUCAACAAUCCCAAGGUGUUUUCAUUGUCGCCGACACCCCUCGCCAACACCUUUAAUGAUGUUCGAAAGGUCCAAGUAUGACGCUACCAAAACAGGUGUAAAGGCUGCAAUUGCCUCACAUUUGGUAGAAGGCCUACUAGUGCUACAUCAAGUGUUAUCAGGAUUGCAAUUGCAUCAACAUCUAGUGAAAGGCCUACAAAUAUUUCAUCAAGUGGUGUAAGGAUUGCAACUGCCUUAACAUUUGAUGGAAGGCCUACAAAUAAUUCAUCAAGUAGUGUGGGGCCUGCAACAAGUCCAUUUGGUACUCUACAAUCAUGCAAGUGGACCAAAAAAAGAAAGACUAGCACAACUAAGAGGGGGACCAAGACAAAAAUAAAAACAAAGACAGUUAUGGUCUCUUAUGUGGAUCUGGUGCGAGUAUAAUUGAGAAGAUAUUUAAUUUAUCAUUUAAACACAUUUUUAAUUGUCAUUAUUGAUAUUAGUUCAUCUUUAAGUGAUGAUUUUGUUGUUUUCUCAUUCUGGAAAUAUUGAUAGGGUGUUACAUAAGGCUGCAUUAUCAAGUUCAAUUUCUAUCAAUGUAGAUCUUGAUUACACUCAAUGGACUAUGGUUAGGCAGCUAUGAGAGGAGAGUUACAAAAGCAUUUAAGUCACAACUGACACUUAUGCCACACCAAGCACUGAUGACACACAUUUUAUUUCUCUUUCUUUAGCUUAAUGAGUUUAUCCUAAUUGACUUUAUUUGGCUUAA